ensembl:lncRNA
AAGGAAACAAAAGUGCAUCAAGAAUAAACACAUGACUAAUCCCACAACAGCAAGAAGAGGAGGUCAAUGGGUCUAAUGAAGUGGGGGGCUCAGGGCUCUCGAGAAGCUUCCAUCAUGCAGGCCAUGCUCCUCAGGAGAAACAAGCCAGUCGGCUCAGAUGGACGAAUGGCGCCAUGGAAGAGCUGGAGGCUGCACUUGGAUGGAACCAGCCCCUGUUCCUCAGCUGGAAACAUAGGGAGGUCAGCUGUCAGCUGGGCACCAGACUGGACACUGAGGGGCCUUGAAUGACAGACCAAAGGGUGGGCUAAUUUAACUAGAUCCCUUUGUUUCCUAGUGAUCGGAAUCUAAGUGCUCAUCAGUGAGUUUCCGUGCCUUAUUUUAUAACAUUUUGUUUUUUCAUCAGUUGGAAAAUGCAGUACAAUUGCCUUUUUGGAGGUAUACCUCUAUGCAUAUUAACAGCGUAUACGUGGGUGUGAGCGCUUCUACCCUCAGGACACAGAACAGUCCCCCAGGCAAAAAUGUCCCAUGCCACUUUGUCAUCCACAUCUUCUCCCCCCACCCUUGACUCUUAACAACUAUACUUUUGUCUGUUCGAGAAUAUCAUGUAAAUAAAAGAAAUUAUGCUGAGA